ensembl:lncRNA
GUCAAACUCGAAAUUUUUUAGCAUAGUGAGGCUUAACUUGGCGUGAUGUUUUGAUAAUAUAUUCGCCUAUAUUUACAAAAAAAAUAAAAAAUAGUUAGCAGAGCAGUAAAUCAAAAAAGUGAUUUGUAUUACUUGUUUGUAUAGUAUGUUGACUUUGGUGUCUAUUUCAAACCUUAUGGCAUUUUUCAAGGAUGAGCAUAAGAGCAUUAAAAGGGGAGAAGACCACUAUAACUCUGGCCAUGUGGAGAAGUGCAGGGGCAAUUUACCUGUUUAGUCUGGGCCAGCAUGAGGGAUAAAGUUUUUCCUGUGUCCUCGAUCUGCUGUAGUCUACAACUGGACUCUUGCGCUCGGAUCACACUGGCACAGGUUAUCCAUGUACCGGAAGGCCUGAGGGAUGCACUCUGUUGAACUGGAAAACAAAGAGACGUGUCCGGAUCUUCCUCUUCUGCCAUGGUGGACGAGCACCUUUUCUGAUGGGUAAUAGCUCUUUCAAACAUGCCUGGGAGAGGGAGUGAGGAAUAACCAUUGACAUUUCAUUGUUGAAAUUCAACGCCCACAAAUACACCGCUACGAUAAUUGAUGAUCCAGGCCAUCGCGAUUUCAUCAAGAACAUGAUCACUGGGUCAUCACAG